rnacentral:rRNA from 1 species
AUUGAACGCUGGCGGCAGGCUUAACACAUGCAAGUCGAGCGGGGUGAUGGUGCUUGCACUAUCACUUAGCGGCGGACGGGUGAGUAAUGCUUAGGAAUCUGCCUAUUAGUGGGGGACAACAUCUCGAAAGGGAUGCUAAUACCGCAUACGUCCUACGGGAGAAAGCAGGGGAUCACUUGUGACCUUGCGCUAAUAGAUGAGCCUAAGCCGGAUUAGCCAGGUGGUGGGGGAAAGGCCUACGAAGGCGACGAACGGUAGCGCGUCUGAGAGGAUGAUCCGCCACACUGGGACUGAGACACGGCCCAGACUCCUACGGGAGGCAGCAGUGGGGAAUAUUGGACAAUGGGGGGAACCCUGAUCAGCCAUGCCGCGUGUGUGAAGAAGGCCUUAUGGUUGUAAAGCACUUUAAGCGAGGAGGAGGCUCUUUUGGUUAAUACCCAGAAUGAGUGGACGUUACUCGCAGAAUAAGCACCGGCUAACUCUGUGCCAGCAGCCGCCGUAA